CCUACGGGAGGCAGCAGUGGGGAAUAUUGGACAAUGGGCGAAAGCCUGAUCCAGCCAUGCCGCGUGUGUGAAGAAGGCCUUCGGGUUGUAAAGCACUUUCAGUGGGGAAGAAAGCCUUGGGGCUAAUACCCUCGAGGAAGGACAUCACCCACAGAAGAAGCACCGGCUAACUCCGUGCCAGCAGCCGCGGUAAUACGGAGGGUGCGAGCGUUAAUCGGAAUUACUGGGCGUAAAGCGCGCGUAGGCGGUCUGAUAAGCCGGAUGUGAAAGCCCCGGGCUCAACCUGGGAACGGCAUCCGGAACUGUCAGGCUAGAGUGCAGGAGAGGAAGGUAGAAUUCCCGGUGUAGCGGUGAAAUGCGUAGAGAUCGGGAGGAAUACCAGUGGCGAAGGCGGCCUUCUGGACUGACACUGACGCUGAGGUGCGAAAGCGUGGGUAGCAAACAGGAUUAGAUCCCCCAGUAGUC
rnacentral:rRNA from 1 species